rnacentral:rRNA from 1 species
CACGUAGGGGCCAAGCGUUGUCCGGAUUUAUUGGGCGUAAAGAGCUCGUAGGCGGUUCGACAAGUCGGGUGUGAAAACUCCGGGCUCAACCCGGAGACGCCACCCGAUACUGUCGUGACUGGAGUCCGGUAGGGGAGUGGGGAAUUCCUGGUGUAGCGGCGAAAUGCGCAGAUAUCAGGAGGAACACCGGUGGCGAAGGCGCCACUCUGGGCCGGUACUGACGCUGAGGAGCGAAAGCGUGGGUAGCAAACAGG